rnacentral:rRNA from 1 species
AUUGAACGCUGGCGGCAUGCCUUACACAUGCAAGUCGAGCGGAAAGGCCACUUCGGUGGUACUCGAGCGGCGAACGGGUGAGUAACACGUGAGUAAUCUGCCCUUGGCUUCGGGAUAGCCACCGGAAACGGUGAUUAAUACCGGAUAUGACCAUCUUUCGUAUGAUUGGUGGUGGAAAGUUUUUCGGCCAGGGAUGUGCUCGCGGCCUGUAAGCUUGAUGGUGAGGUAAUGGCUCACCAUGGCUUCGACGGGUAGCCGGCCUGAGGGGGUGACCGGCCACUCUGGGACUGAGUCGCGGGCCAGAGUCCUACGGGUGGGAGCAGUGGGAAAUAUUGGACAAUGGGCGGAAGGCUGUUCCAGCAACGCCGCGUGAGGGAUGACGGCCUUCGGGUUGUAAACCUCUUUCAGCAGGGACGAAGCGCAAGUGACGGUACCUGCAGAAGAAGCACCGGCCAACUACGUGCCAGCCGCCGCCGUAACAC